UACAGAGGUCCCAAGCGUUGUUCGGAUUCAUUGGGCGUAAAGGGUGCGUAGGCGGCGCGGUAAGUCGGGUGUGAAAUCUCGGGGCUUAACUCCGAAACUGCAUUCGAUACUGCCGUGCUUGAGGACUGGAGAGGAGACUGGAAUUUACGGUGUAGCGGUGAAAUGCGUAGAUAUCGGGAGGAACACCUGUGGCGAAAGCGGCGCACUGGACCACAACUGACGCUGAGGCGCGAAAGCUAGGGGAGCAAACAGG
rnacentral:rRNA from 1 species